UAAAGCGCACGCAGGCGGUCUGUUAAGCUAGAAGUGAAAGCCCCGCGCUCAACGUGGGAAGGCCUUUUAGAACUGGCAGACUAGAGUUUUGGAGAGGGGAGUGGAAUUCCAGGUGUAGCGGUGAAAUGCGUAGAUAUCUGGAGGAACAUCAGUGGCGAAGGCGACUCUCUGGCCAAAGACUGACGCUCAUGUGCGAAAGUGUGGGUAGCGAACAGGAUUAGAUACCCUGGUAGUCCACACCGUAAACGCUGUCUACUAGCUGUUUGUGAAUUUAAUUCGUGAGUAGCGAAGCUAACGCGCUAAGUAGACCGCCUGGGGAGUACGGCCGCAAGGUUAAAACUCAAAUGAAUUGACGGGGGCCCGCACAAGCGGUGGAGCAUGUGGUUUAAUUCGAUGCAACGCGAAGAACCUUACCUACUCUUGACAUACCAGAAAUUUAGUAGAGAUACUUUAGUGCCUUCGGGAAUCUGGAUACAGGUGCUGCAUGGCUGUCGUCAGCUCGUGUCGUGAGAUGUUGGGUUAAGUCCCGCAACGAGCGCAACCCUUGUCCUUAGUUGCCAGC
rnacentral:rRNA from 1 species